GCAAACUUGGUCAUUUAGAGGAAGUAAAAGUCGUAACAAGGUCUCCGUUGGUGAACCAGCGGAGGGAUCAUUAUCGAGUCUCCGAACUCCCAAACCAUUGUGAACAUACCACUGUUGCUUCGGCGGGAUCGUCCCGGGCGCGCCUCUCGAGGCGUGUUCCGGAGCCAGGCGCCCGCCGAGGGUAUCAAACUCGUGUAUUUGAAGCGGACUUCUGAGCACAAACAAAAAAAUGAAUCAAAACUUUCAGCAACGGAUCUCUUGGCUCUGGCAUCGAUGAAGAACGCAGC
rnacentral:misc_RNA from 1 species